rnacentral:lncRNA from 1 species
CUGAAAGCACUUAACAAAAGAGUUAGCAAAUAAAAAUCCUCACACUCUCAAAGUUUUUAGCUCACGAUUUUUAAGUGAUCACUCAGAGUUCUUUUCACUGGUUCAAAGGAUGAUAGGCAGUCAAAAUUCAGCAAUCAAAACCCAAAACAAACUUUUGCGGGAAAAGAAAAGAGAAAGAAAAAUGAAGAGAUUUUUGUGUGGAUUCGCCUUAACUGUCCUAAGGCUGGGUUUCUCUUCAGUCAGCAGGGUUUCUCUUCCACCAUUCCCCUUGGAUUUCUCUUCAGAAGUGAUUCAAGCCAAAACUUUUACUUUUUUUUUAUCGAUUUUUUUUCUCUUUUUUUUUUUAAUAACUGGUGAUCACAAGGGAGUAAAGGAACAGCCCAGAUCCAACAAGAAAUAAGAAAAUAAAAUCGUGGAGAGAUGAGAAGAUGAAAAGAUGAAAUGAAAACAAACCAGCCAAAGUGGCUCUGAUACCACUUGAUACGCCCUAAAUUGGGAAGGAUCACUUUAGCUGGGUGUUGGAUAUGAUCCGAGAAGGCAAACAACACUUCUGGAAAUGAUAUGGAUUGAAAGGAUCGUCAAGA